UUAAUACUCCCUUCGUCCCAAAAUACUUGUCUUAGAUUUGUAUGUGCCUAGAUACAUCCGUAUCUAGACAAAUCUAAGACAAGUAUUUUGGGACAGAGGUUGUACAAG
rnacentral:pre_miRNA from 1 species